rnacentral:rRNA from 1 species
UACGUAGGGUGCGAGCGUUGUCCGGAAUUACUGGGCGUGAAGAGCUCGUAGGUGGUUUGUCGCGUUGUUCGUGAAAACCGGGGGCUUAACUCUCGGCGUGCGGGCGAUACGGGCAGACUGGAGUACUGCAGGGGAGACUGGAAUUCCUGGUGUAGCGGUGGAAUGCGCAGAUAUCAGGAGGAACACCGGUGGCGAAGGCGGGUCUCUGGGCAGUAACUGACGCUGAGGAGCGAAAGCGUGGGGAGCGAACAGG